rnacentral:lncRNA from 1 species
UUUAUAGGGCUUCUAAACCCUAACUCCUAAUAGGACUCCUACUUAAGACUCUUACUUCUAACCGACUCCUAAUAGGACUCCUACUCAAGACUCCUAUUCCCUUACAACUCCUAAUUCUUCUCUAAGAAAAACCUCCUACAUGAAUGCCCCUCUCAAUUAGGACUCUCCUAGCUAGAGUCCUAACAGAAUGUCCCUCUCAAUUAGGACUCUCCUAGCUAGAGUCCUAACAAUUUUACAUGA